rnacentral:rRNA from 1 species
GAUGAACGCUGGCGGCGUGCCUAAUACAUGCAAGUCGAGCGAACAGACGAGGAUCUUGCUCCUCUGACGUUAGCGGCGGACGGGUGAGUAACACGUGUAUAACCUACCUAUAAGACUGGGAUAACUUCGGGAAACCGGAGCUAAUACCGUAUAAUAUAUUGAACCGCAUGGUUCAAUAGUGAAAUACGGUUUUGCUGUCACUUAUAGAUGGAUCCGCGCCGCAUUAGCUAGUUGGUAAGGUAACGGGUUACCAAGGCAACGAUGCGUAGCCGACCUGAGGGGGUGAUCGGCCACACUGGAACUGAGACACGGUCAAGACUCCUGCGGGAGGCAGCAGUAGGGAAUCUUCCGCAAUGGGCGAAAGCCUGACGGAGCAGCGCCGCGUGAGUGAUGAAGAUCUUCCGAUCGUAAAACUCUGUUAUUAGGGAAGAACAAAUGUGUAAGUAACUAUGCACGUCUUGACGGUAACUAAUCAGAAAGCCACGGCUAACUACGUG